GAAAUGCGAUAAGUAAUGUGAAUUGCAGAAUUCAGUGAAUCAUCGAAUCUUUGAACGCACAUUGCGCCCGCCAGUAUUCUGGCGGGCAUGCCUGUUCGAGCGUCAUUUCAACCAUCAAGCCCCCGGGCUUGUGUUGGGGACCUGCGGCUGCCGCAGGCCCCGAAAACCAGUGGCGGGCUCGCUGUCACACCGGGCGUAGUAGAUUUUUCGUCUCGCCCAGGGCGUGCUGCGGGUUCCGGCCGUUAAAAAGCCUCUCUUUUAACCCAAGGUUGACCUCGGAUCAGGUAGGUAGACCCGCUGAACUUAAGC
rnacentral:misc_RNA from 1 species